rnacentral:rRNA from 1 species
CCUACGGGGGGCAGCAGUGAGGAAUAUUGGUCAAUGGACGAAAGUCUGAACCAGCCAUGCCGCGUGCAGGAAGACGGCUCUAUGAGUUGUGAACUGCUUUUGUACAAGGGUAAACCUGAAUACGUGUAUUCAGCUGAAAGUACUGUACGAAUAAGGAUCGGCUAACUCCGUGCCAGCAGCCGCGGUAAUACGGAGGAUCCAAGCGUUAUCCGGAUUUAUUGGGUUUAAAGGGUGCGUAGGCGGUUUGAUAAGUUAGAGGGGAAAUACCGGUGCUCAACACCGGAACUGCCUCUAAUACUGUUGAA